rnacentral:rRNA from 1 species
CGGCAGCACGGGAGCAAUCCUGGUGGCGAGUGGCGAACGGGUGAGUAAUACAUCGGAACGUGUCCUGUAGUGGGGGAUAGCCCGGCGAAAGCCGGAUUAAUACCGCAUACGCUCUACGGAGGAAAGGGGGGGAUCUUAGGACCUCUCGCUACAGGGGCGGCCGAUGGCAGAUUAGCUAGUUGGUGGGGUAAAGGCCUACCAAGGCGACGAUCUGUAGCUGGUCUGAGAGGACGACCAGCCACACUGGGACUGAGACACGGCCCAGACUCCUACGGGAGGCAGCAGUGGGGAAUUUUGGACAAUGGGCGAAAGCCUGAUCCAGCAAUGCCGCGUGUGUGAAGAAGGCCUUCGGGUUGUAAAGCACUUUUGUCCGGAAAGAAAUCCCCUGGGAUAAUACCCCGGGGGGAUGACGGUACCGGAAGAAUAAGCACCGGCUAACUACGUGCCAGCAGCCGCGGUAAUACGUAGGGUGCAAGCGUUAAUCGGAAUUACUGGGCGUAAAGCGUGCGCAGGCGGUUCGCUAAGACAGAUGUGAAAUCCCCGGGCUUAACCUGGGAACUGCAUUUGUGACUGGCGGGCUAGAGUAUGGCAGAGGGGGGUAGAAUUCCACGUGUAGCAGUGAAAUGCGUAGAGAUGUGGAGGAAUACCGAUGGCGAAGGCAGCCCCCUGGGCCAAUACUGACGCUCAUGCACGA